UUAACACAUGCAAGUCGAGGGGCAUCAGGAAGAAAGCUUGCUUUCUUUGCUGGCGACCGGCGCACGGGUGAGUAACACGUAUCCAACCUGCCCUUUACUCGGGGAUAGCCUUUCGAAAGAAAGAUUAAUACCCGAUAGUAUAGUAUUUCCGCAUGGUUUCACUAUUAAAGAAUUUCGGUUGUCGAUGGGGAUGCGUUCCAUUAGGCAGUUGGCGGGGUAACGGCCCACCAAACCAACGAUGGAUAGGGGUUCUGAGAGGAAGGUCCCCACAUUGGAACUGAGACACGGUCCAAACUCC
rnacentral:rRNA from 1 species